AUGUACAAUGUUAUUUUGGAAUGUGUCAGUUAUGUUCAAAAAGGUGCCAAUGAGGAAUCGACCGGGAUUUCUAGAUAUAGUACUCAAAAGAAUCGCCACAAUACACCAAAACAAUUACAAUUCAAAUUUUGUUGUUGUUGUUGUUGUUGUUGCUGCUGCUGCUGUCGCAGUGCUUGUCAAUCAUUUCAUCCCCUACAAUAUCGACAUGUUCAUAAGUUUUGGCUCUGUUUGCUAAUAUAA
rnacentral:rRNA from 1 species